rnacentral:rRNA from 1 species
AUACGUAGGUGACAAGCGUUAUCCGGAUUUACUGGGCGUAAAGGGCGUGUAGGCGGUCUUGCAAGUCAGAAGUGAAAUUCCUGAGCUCAACUCGGGCGCUGCUUCUGAAACUGCAGGACUUGAGUGCUGGAGGGGAUAGCGGAAUUCCUAGUGUAGCGGUAAAAUGCGCAGAUAUUAGGAGGAACACCGGUGGCGAAGGCGGCUAUCUGGACAGUAACUGACGCUGAGGCGCGAAAGCACGGGGAGCAAACAGGAUUAGAUACCCUGGUAGUCCGUGCCGUAAACGAUGAAUACUAGGUGUAGGGGGUAUCGACUCCCUCUGUGCCGCAGUUAACACAUUAAGUAUUCCACCUGGGGAGUACGGCCGCAAGGUUGAAACUCAAAGGAAUUGACGGGG